rnacentral:rRNA from 1 species
AGUGAACGCUGGCGGCGUGCUUAACACAUGCAAGUCGAACGAGAACGGAUUAUAGCUUGCUAUAAUUGUCAGCUAAGUGGCGCACGGGGGAGUAAUGUAUAGGUAAUAUGCCUCUUACUAAGGGUUAACAAAUGUAAACGUUUGCUAAUACCUUAUACUCCUUAUUAACAUAAGUUAAUAAGGGAAAGAUUUAUUGGUAUGAGAUUAGCCUGUAUUGUAUCAGUUAGUUGGUGGGGUAAUGGCUCACCAAGACUAUGACACAUAACUGGUCUGGGAGGAUGAUCAGUCACACUGGAACUGAGACACGGUCCAGACUCCUACGGGAGGCAGCAGUGGGGAAUAUUGCACAAUGGACGAAAGUCUGAUGCAGCAACGCCGCGUGGAGGAUGACACAUUUCGGUGCGUAAACUCCUUUUAUAUGAGAAGAUAAUGACGGUAUCAUAUGAAUAAGCACCGGCUAACUCCGUGCCAGCAGCCGCGGUAA